ensembl:lincRNA
CUGUCCGUUGCUGCGCGCGCUCCCGCUGGCUCGCCGCCACCGGUUUCUUCCGAGUCUGGCAGGCAGCUUAGCCCUACGUGGAGUGGGAGUGGCGUCAAAAUUCAAAGGAACUGCCGCAGUUGGAGGCGUUGUACCACCUGCUUCGAGACGGUUGGCGGCCUGGAGUGGCCUUGACCUCACCCCAAGUCUAACCCGGGUGGCAGCCGCUCUGCCGAAGGGACCUUGGAGGACAGAACUACACCGGUGCCUCUGUGGCAAGCCAGGAGGGUUCUCCAGGAUUGAACUACAACUGCCUGGUGUCUGCUUGCCCAGAGGACUGGUCAACUUCUACAACAAGUCCAAAACCUACUGAUAUAGCCACCUUAGGGUCCUUCAUGCUUUUAACUUCAAAGGACUGUGUAAAAAGGACCAGACACAGCAGGGAGUCUUCGGACUGUUCACAUGAAUGCUGUCAAGCAUCUGUGGCAAAAUCUUAGUUUACAUAUGCAGUCAACUGGACAGCAGACACAACUCUUCAUGGAUGGGCAGCACCUCUGAACCACAUGCUGCACUGUCAGCCAUGAUGCUAUUGUCUUCAGUACUUCUUAAAUGAAUUUAAGGCUCAACCAAGGGAGAAAAGGCAUUCCACAGCAUGAACGGACUCAUGUUUUCACUUUCCCUCUGUACACAGUUUUGAGAGUCAGGAAUCCUUAGGCUGUUGUCUGAAGCAAGGAUGAUAACAAUAUCCAGGCACAAAUGCCAAGCAGACCAAUGAGAUAAUAAACUAUAAAUUUC